CGGUGGAGCAUGUGGUUUAAUUCGAUGCAACGCGAAGAACCUUACCUGGUCUUGACAUCCCGGAGACCCUUAGGAACUAGGGGUGCUUCCAUCUGGAAGAAUCUGGAGACAGGUGCUGCAUGGCUGUCGUCAGCUCGUGUCGUGAGAUGUUGGGUUAAGUCCCGCAACGAGCGCAACCCUUGCCUUUAGUUGCCAGCAGUUCGGCUGGGCACUCUAAAGGGACUGCCGGUGUUAAACCGGAGGAAGGUGGGGAUGACGUCAAGUCCUCAUGGCCUUUAUGACCAGGGCUACACACGUACUACAAUGGCCGAUACAAAGGGCAGCGACACUGCGAGGUGAAGCCAAUCCCGUAAAAUCGGUCUCAGUCCGGAUUGGAGUCUGCAACUCGACUCCAUGAAGUUGGAAUCGCUAGUAAUCGUGGAUCAGCAUGCCACGGUGAAUACGUUCCCGGGCCUU
rnacentral:rRNA from 1 species